rnacentral:lncRNA from 12 species
AUGGACACCAGGGAACAUGAAGAAGCCAAUCCAGAGAGAAACAAACCCACAAUCUCAAGCACAACACCUCUACCUAGUCCACGAUCUCUCAACCCAAACGUCAGCUCAAAACCACAGCCACUGCCACGGCUGCGCUUGGACUCCAAUCAGAGGCCAGAGAGUGAAGAAUCGGACUGGGAUACGGACACUUUCAGUCCAGCCAAGAAGACAGCUUCACUGCCAAAUGUCGCUGAGCCUGAUGCAGUUCGUCGGCAGAAACCCAAAGCUGAAGAUGCAGAGAGUGAAGACCGUUCUGACGCAAGCGAAGAUGUAGAUCAGGGUGGUAAGGAACAGGCGGAUGGCAUGAGGGGAGAACACCAGCCCGGUGUUUUAUGGGAUACUAGAGGAACCAGAGAACGAGGUGAACUUGACCAAGGAAAAGGGAAGAAAACUGACACCAACUCUGGGAACCCAAAACCUAAACAGGACGGGAUGGCUGACAGCAGGUCUUUGGGAAGAGAGGGUAGUGUUUCGCCAAGACAUCUGACAAGAAGUCAGAGAAGUACUGACAGGGCACCACCACAUGGUGAGGAAGAUGAGGAGGAGGAAAAGAAAACUGUAGGUAGCCAAGCCAGAAAUCUCUGUGUAGCUCCCCCUCUGCAGGGCAAACCCUCCCGACCUGCGACCCGCCAUAACGGAGACCUCGAGUCUGUCUUUGAUGAUAGUACUUUAAGUGAGCUGUCGGAAGAGGACAGGAGGUAUACAUGCAGUAUUUACAUGCUUUUAAAUAUAAUGAAUUAUUUACAGCUCAAUUUUAUACGUUGCAGUGUUGCAGCAGCAAUAUUUUAAGUAUAACCUGGCCUGCACAGAAUCUGUGCCCGCAGAACUCUACCAAAUUUGAACACCUGUAAAAUUUACACCUGCAAUGCUUACACCAACAAUCAGUGCAGAAUAAAUUAAAACAAAAAAAAGUGGGCAGAUUCCUUAUGGGCCUUGUUAUAACGUGUAUUUUUUCUUUUUUAAGGGAAUACUGCAUUAUAUCCUCAUUUUAGAGCACCAAACUUGCUCUCCGGUAGACUGGUGUUGUCAGAUAAAGCUUAAACCAUGUUUACUCUGUUCUGACAGGUCCCCGUCUUUAAGGCCUAAGAAAGAACAGGUGAGCUUUUGUCCUGAUAAGGUAAAUCUCUAAAUAUGAGUGUUUGUUUAAUGUUUUAAGACCACAGGUUACCAAACUGUGCUCUGGCUUUUGAGAAUAUGAAGUUGUUACAGUUUAACACAGGAUACUCAAUGUUAGGGGUCAACCUAUUAUCGGCGCCGAUAUUAAGCAGUUUUAUGGUUAUUGGUUUCACAACAAAUUUGCCGAUAAAAUAAUUUUAAAGCAUUUAAAGAAAGUUUUUGUCAGAGCCCUUGUUGUUCUUAAUUUUGAAAUUUUAAAUUUUUACACCAGACAUAUAUAUCUGUUCAAAAUAUCGGUUUAAUAAUCAGUAUCUGAAAAACACAUAUCCGUCGAUCCCUACUCGGUGUCAUACAUGUGUUGUAUUGACUUUAAUGUCUCCUACGCAGAGCACUGGAGAGCUAGAAACAGCGGAUGAUUUUGAAGAUCUCACUCAGUCUUCUGACACAGCCACUGAGGAGCUGGAGACUCCAGUAUCUGGAUACCGCAAUGCUUCUCUUCUCUUCAAACAACUCGACUCAAGCUAUCUGGGUGAGUCGGUCAGCUCCAGUCAGCUGAAAGCAAACAGUUAAGUUCAGAUGUUCAGAAAAUGAAGAUGUGCACCUGUUUCUUAUGUCUGUCCUGCAGACUCUGUGAGUGUGGUGAAACUACAGAACAUGUUUCAUGAAUACGAACGCACCAUCCAGAGGGAGAGAGACAGACACAGACGUCUGGCGGAUAAAAUCUCUCAGCUGGAGCAGGAACGCAACGAGCUCAAGAUCCUGCUGGAUGAUAUCAGAGGCAGCAAGUCCAGCCUAGAACAUCUCAAACUGGAGCUGGAAACAGAUAUGAACAAUCUCAAGUGAGCUCAACUCAGUGCAUGUGAAAGGAGGUCUGCAGCUCACCGGGGUUUGUGACGUUGACUCUCUCUUCUCUCUCUCCCCUCAUGGAAGGUUCCUUUUGAGACAGGAACAGGAAAAGCAUCAGAGCGCUCUCAUGCUGUAUAAUAAAACCCGUGAGCAGCUUCAGAGGAAAGAGGACCAGCAGCGAGCCGAGGCCGAGGAGCAUCACAAAGCUGAGCUGAAAGUCCGCAGUCUGGAACUGGAGAUCAGAGCCCUGAAGAACAGCAUCAGACAGGUCAAAAGCAGCAGACUGUUAGAUUUAGCUGGUAAAACCAGCCCAUAACACAGUUUGCUGAACAGUGUGUGCGCUUGUGUGUUUAGAUUGAAGAGGACAGAGAUGAGUCUCAGCGUCUCCUGUCUCAUGAGCGCAGUGCUCGUGCCCUACAGGAGGAGUUACUGAACAACCACCUGCGUAAGCAGCAGGACAUUGAGCAGGAGAACCUCCGAAACCUCAAUAAGAGCAAUGAGGUACUGCUGUCACCUUCUCAAACACCAACUAUAUAUGUGUUUGUCUGGGAAUAUAGUCACAUAUGCAGUGAUGUCACAGUUUUAUGGCCACACAUGCAC